AUUGAACGCUGGCGGCAGGCUUAACACAUGCAAGUCGAGCGGAGAUGAGGUGCUUGCACCUUAUCUUAGCGGCGGACGGGUGAGUAAUGCUUAGGAAUCUGCCUAUUAGUGGGGGACAACAUUCCGAAAGGAAUGCUAAUACCGCAUACGCCCUACGGGGGAAAGCAGGGGAUCUUCGGACCUUGCGCUAAUAGAUGAGCCUAAGUCGGAUUAGCUAGUUGGUGGGGUAAAGGCCUACCAAGGCGACGAUCUGUAGCGGGUCUGAGAGGAUGAUCCGCCACGCUGGGACGGAGACACGGCCCAGACUCCUACGGGAGGCAGCAGUGGGGAAUAUUGGACAAUGGGCGGAAGCCUGAUCCAGCCAUGCCGCGUGUGUGAAGAAGGCCUUUUGGUUGUAAAGCACUGUAAGCGAGGAGGAGGCUACCUGGAUUAAUACUCUAGGAUAGUGGACGUUACUCGCAGAAUAAGCACCGGCUAACUCUGUGCCAGCAGCCGCCGUAA
rnacentral:rRNA from 1 species